GUCCUAAGGUAGCGAAAUUCCUUGUCGGGCAAGUUCCGACCUGCACGAAUGGCAUAAUGAUGGCCACACUGUCUCCUCCUGAGACUCAGUGAAGUUGAAAUGUUUGUGAUGAUGCAAUCUCCCCGCGGCUAGACGGAAAGACCCCAUGAACCUUUACUGCAGCUUUGCAUUGGACUUUGAACCGAUCUGUGUAGGAUAGGUGGGAGGCAGUGAAGCUAGGACGCCAGUCUUAGCGGAGCCAACCUUGAAAUACCACCCUGAUUUGUUUGAGGUUCUAACCUAGGAGCGUAAUCCGCUUCGGGGACCGUGCAUGGCAGGCAGUUUGACUGGGGCGGUCUCCUCCUAAAGGGUAACGGAGGAGUGCGAAGGUACGCUAGGUACGGUCGGAAAUCGUGCUGAUAGUGCAAUGGCAAAAGCGUGCUUGACUGCGAGACCGACAAGUCGAGCAGAUACGAAAGUAGGUCAUAGUGAUCCGGUGGCUCUGCAUGGAAGGGCCAUCGCUCAACGGAUAAAAGGUACUCUGGGGAUAACAGGCUGAUACCGCCCAAGAGUUCAUAUCGACGGCGGUGUUUGGCACCUCGAUGUCGGCUCAUCUCAUCCUGGGGCUGUAGCCGGUCCCAAGGGUAUGGCUGUUCGCCAUUUAAAGAGGUACGUGAGCUGGGUUUAAAACGUCGUGAGACAGUUUUGUCCCUAUCUGCCGUGGGCGUUGGAAGAUUGACGGGGGCUGCUCCUAGUACGAGAGGACCGGAGUGGACUCACCUCUGGUGUACCGGUUGUCACGCCAGUGGCAUCGCCGGGUAGCUAUGUGGGGAAAGGAUAACCGCUGAAAGCAUCUAAGCGGGAAACCUGCCUGAAGAUAAGUCUUCCUGGAGGCUAGACCUCCCUAAAGAGUCGUUCGAGACCAGGACGUUGAUAGGUUGGAUGUGCAAGCGCUGUGAGGCGUUGAGCUGACCAAUACUAAUUGCUCGUGAAGCUUGAUCCU
rnacentral:rRNA from 1 species